rnacentral:rRNA from 1 species
GAUGAACGCUGGCGGCGUGCCUAAUACAUGCAAGUCGAGCGAAUGGAUUAAGAGCUUGCUCUUAUGAAGUUAGCGGCGGACGGGUGAGUAACACGUGGGUAACCUGCCCAUAAGACUGGGAUAACUCCGGGAAACCGGGGCUAAUACCGGAUAACAUUUUGAACCGCAUGGUUCGAAAUGGAAAGGCGGCUUCGGCUGUCACUUAUGGAUGGACCCGCGUCGCAUUAGCUAGUUGGUGAGGUAACGGCUCACAAAGGCAACGAUGCGUAGCCGACCUGAGAGGGUGAUCGGCCACACUGGGACUGAGACACGGCCCAGACUCCUACGGGAGGCAGCAGUAGGGAAUCUUCCGCAAUGGACGAAAGUCUGACGGAGCAACGCCGCGUGAGUGAUGAAGGCUUUCGGGUCGUAAAACUCUGUUGUUAGGGAAGAACAAGUGCUAGUUGAAUAAGCUGGCACCAUGACGGUACCUAACCAGAAAGCCACGGCUAACUACGUGCCAGCCGCCGCCGUAA